AACGAACGCUGGCGGCAUGCCUAACACAUGCCAGUCGAACGAGACCUUCGGGUCUAGUGGCGCACGGGUGCGUAACGCGUGGGAACCUGCCCUUAGGUUCGGAAUAACUCCCCGAAAGGGGUGCUAAUACCGGAUAAUGUCUUCGGACCAAAGAUUUAUCGCCUUUGGAUGGGCCCGCGUUGGAUUAGCUAGUUGGUAGGGUAAAAGCCUACCAAGGCGACGAUCCAUAGCUGGUCUGAGAGGAUGAUCAGCCACACUGGGACUGAGACACGGCCCAGACUCCUACGGGAGGCAGCAGUGGGGAAUAAUGGACAAUGGGCGAAAGCCUGAUCCAGCAAUGCCGCGUGAGUGAUGAAGGCCUUAGGGUUGUAAAGCUCUUUUACCCGGGAUGAUAAUGACAGUACCGGGAGAAUAAGCUCCGGCUAACUCCGUG
rnacentral:rRNA from 1 species